rnacentral:rRNA from 1 species
GGUUGCUUGCAAGGGCGUAUGGUGGAUGCCUUGGCAGACAGUACCGAUGAAGGACGUUUGAGGCUGCGAUAUGCCUCGGGGAGCCGCCAGCAGGGCUUUGAUCCGAGGAUUUCCGAAUGGGGGAACCCGCCGGCCGUCAUGGGCCGGCACCGCGUUCGCGCGGGGGGUACGCAGGGAAGUGAAACAUCUCAGUACCUGCAGGAAAGGAUGUUCCGUGAGUAGUGGCGAGCGAAAGCGGAUCAGGCCAAACCGCGCGCGUGUGACAGGCGCCAGCCGUUGCGCGCGUGGUGUUGAGGGAGCGUGUGUCCGGGUCCUGGCGGGCUCGGCCGGAGUGAUAAAACGGCGUGUGAGGCGAACCGGAUUGAAUGCCGGGCCGCAGAGGGUGAUGGCCCCGUAGCCGAACGCGCGUCGUCUCCGGAUCGUGUUUCCCAAGUAGCGCGGGACUCGUGGAAUCCCGUGUGAAUCCGCCCCGACCGUGGGGUAAGCCUAGAUAUACCUGUCUGACCGAUAGCGAACUAGUACCGUGAGGGAAAGGUGAAAAGCACCCCGGGAGGGGAGUGAAACAGUCUCUGAAACCGUGCGCUUACAAACCGUCGGAGCCUUUCGGGGUGACGGCGUGCCUAUCGAAAAAUGAGUCUGCGAGUCAGUGGCACGUGGCGAGCGUAACCCGUGUGGGGUACGCGUAGCGAAGGCGAGUCUCAAAAGGCGUUUGAGUCGCGUGUCCUGGACCCGAAGCGGGAUGAUCUAGCCCUGAGCAGGUUGAAGCGCGGGUAAGACCGCGUGGAGGACCGAACCCACCUGGGUUGAAAACCGGGGGGAUGACUUGGGGUUAGGGGUGAAAGGCCAAUCAAAUUCCGUGAUAGCUGGUUCUCUCCGAAAUGCAUUUAGGUGCAGCGUCGGGGAUUACGUCCGGGGGGUAGAGCUACUGGAUGCUUGAGGGCCCGUAUCGGGUACCGACAGCAGCCAAACUCCGAAUACCCGUGACGCGUAUCCCGGCAGUGAGUCGGCGGGGGAUAAGCUCCGUCGUCGAAAGGGAGACAGCCCAGAUCGUCGUCUAAGGUCCCCAAGCGCGUGCUAAGUGGGAAAGGAUGUGGAGUCGCAUAGACAGCCAGGAGGUUGGCUCAGAAGCAGCCACCCUUGAAAGAGUGCGUAACAGCUCACUGGUCUAGUGGUUCCGCGCCGACAAUGUAGCGGGGCUCAAGCACGCCACCGAAGACGCGGCAGCGUCCGUUUGGAUGCUGGGUAGGAGAGCGUCCCCAUCGGGGCGAAGCGGCGGCGCAAGCCUGCCGUGGACCGUUGGGGAGUGAGAAUGCAGACAUGAGUAGCGAGAGGCGGGUGCGAAUCCCGCCCGCUGGAUGACCAAGGGUUCCGGGGCCACGUUCGUCGUCCCCGGGUGAGUCGGGUCCUAAGGCGAGGCCGACAGGCGUAGUCGAAUGGAUGAACGGGCUGAUAUUCCCGUACCGGCAGCGAACCGAAACAACCGAGGCCUGGGGCGCUAACCUCCGGGUCCGUGCCGUCUCCCCUUUCGGGGGGUCGCGGCGCGGGCGCGUUGGGAUCCCCCCUCGUAGUAGGUCAGCGCAGGAGUGACGCAUCAGGGCAGCCGGCCGCGGAGGUGGUUUUCCGUGGUCAAGCGUUCGAGCCCGUCCCGCAGGCAAAUCCGCGGGGCGUCGGGGCGAGGCGUGAUGAUGGGGGCCUUACGGCCCGAAUCCGGUGAUCCGUGGUGCCGAGAAAAGCUUCGGCGUCAGGCGCGUUGCCGCCCGUACCCCAAACCGACACUGGUGGUCAGGUAGAGAAUACCAAAGCGAUCGAGCGAAUCCUGGUCAAGGAACUCGGCAAAUUGCUCCCGUGCCUUCGGCAUAAGGGAGACCCCCUGCGGUGAUGAGCGGCGGGGGGUGGCACAGGCCAGGGGGUAGCGACUGUUUACCAAAAACACAGGAGCGUGCGAAGGCGCAAGCCGCUGUAUACGCUCUGACGCCUGCCCGGUGCCGGAAGGUUAAGAGGAUCCGUCAGCUUCUGCGAAGCGGUGAAUUCAAGCCCCGGUAAACGGCGGUGGUAACUAUAACCAUCCUAAGGUAGCGAAAUUCCUUGUCGGGUAAGUUCCGACCUGCACGAAUGGCGUAACGACUUCCCCACUGUCUCGACCAGGAGCUCGGCGAAAUUGCAGUACGAGUAAAGAUGCUCGUUAAGCGCAGAAGGACGAAAAGACCCCGGGACCUUUACUAUACCUUGGUAUUGGCAUUAGGCGCGGAUUGUGUAGCAUAGGCGGGAGGCCGAGAGGCGCGGUCGCCAGAUCGCGCGGAGCCGUAAGGUGAAAUACCGCUCUGUUCGCAUUGGAUGUCUAACCUCGAACAGUCAUCCUGUUCAGGGACAGUGCCUGGCGGGUAGUUUAACUGGGGCGGUUGCCUCCCAAAGAGUAACGGAGGCGCCCAAAGGUCCGCUCAGCCCGGUUGGCAAUCGGGUGGCGAGUGCAAGUGCACAAGCGGGCUUGACUGCGAGGACGACGGUCCGAGCAGGGACGAAAGUCGGGACUAGUGAUCCGGUGCCGGUGUACGGACGCGGCAUCGCUCAACGGAUAAAAGGUACCCCGGGGAUAACAGGCUGAUCAUUCCCAAGAGUCCAUAUCGACGGGAUGGUUUGGCACCUCGAUGUCGGCUCGUCGCAUCCUGGGGCUGGAGCAGGUCCCA